GAUGAACGCUGGCGGCGUGCCUAAUACAUGCAAGUCGAACGAACAGAUGAGGAGCUUGCUCCUCUGACGUUAGCGGCGGACGGGUGAGUAACACGUGGAUAACCUACCUAUAAGACUGGGAUAACUUCGGGAAACCGGAGCUAAUACCGGAUAAUAUAUUGAACCGCAUGGUUCAAUAGUGAAAGACGGUUUUGCUGUCACUUAUAGAUGGAUCCGCGCCGCAUUAGCUAGUUGGUAAGGUAACGGCUUACCAAGGCGACGAUGCGUAGCCGACCUGAGAGGGUGAUCGGCCACACUGGAACUGAGACACGGUCCAGACUCCUACGGGAGGCAGCAGUAGGGAAUCUUCCGCAAUGGGCGAAAGCCUGACGGAGCAACGCCGCGUGAGUGAUGAAGGUCUUCGGAUCGUAAAACUCUGUUAUUAGGGAAGAACAAAUGUGUAAGUAACUAUGCACGUCUUGACGGUACCUAAUCAGAAAGCCACGGCUAACUACGUG
rnacentral:rRNA from 1 species